ACCCCCCUUUUUUUGGACAAUCAACGCAUUUGAAUGGGGACAUGUAAUUGGAACCCCCUCUUUGUCUUGGGUUAGAAACCCCCUUUUAAAAUGGCUGGAUCCGCCCCUGCAAUGAUGAUCUUAGUAUAGUGGUUCAAGGUUACAGGCUUAAAAUUAGACAAACUGGUACUUAAUUGUUUUCUGCAUCCUGGCAGAAAAAAAAUAUUAUUGAAGAGGGUGAAAUAUUUAAUAAUUCUAUUUGUUUCACAUAUGCUAUUUAAUCUCAAUUUUAUCUAUGAACUGUUCUAGACAAUGCAUGAUGCUCUAUCCAAAAAAAAAGGAAUAAUAUUAUGUAUUAAACAUCUCUUUGGUGAAAUACAUGAUUAAAGUAUUUGAAAUAUUUUUCAGAAUUUAUUCACACAAUAGCUGACCAAUAAUUAUACUAUAGCUGACAAUCAGCUGCUCUUUGUGCUGAAAAGGGUACAUGCAGAAUCGAUGGAGAUGAAGUGAAAAAUUGUUUGGAUGAAUUGCUACCUUCAGCUGAAAUGUUAUUAAAUCUCAAUAAUCAGGCAGCAGCCAAACCAUAGGAGGGCUGGUUUACAGUAGAAAGUAUAUUAAGAAUACUUGAAGAUCAAUAUUUGAAGCAAAUAAAAAGGAAAGAGUUUCCAUCCAUUUCCAUCCAAUGUUUCACAAAAGAAAGGAAAAGGUAAAAAAACUUUCAAGAAAAACUGUUCUCCAACCAAAGGUAUAGAAAGUGAAGGAAAUAAUAGGAGAAGGAAACGGGACGUACGUACCAGAUCUUGAAGACAACAUUUGUAAUGAUGAGGAUGACACUAUUACUUUAUCUCCUGAUGUACUAAUGGAAACCAUGCAAAGCUUGAGAGGAGAAAUCAUUGAUUUCAUUAAAAUAUGGAAGCCUUAGUGAUUUAAAGAUGCCAACAAAACUAAAACGAAAAGAGAGGCCAAAAGGAAGCCAACAGACCGUAAUUGGUUUACCAAAAAAAGAGAAAAGAACAAACUUGUUCCUUUCUUAAGAGAACAGUUGAUAAAAAAGAAAGAGAAAUACUUAAUUGGUUAGUUAGUGUAGAUAGUUUAAUGAAGGCAUCAGGAGGGACAUUACUGGAUGAAGAAGAUUUGGUUGGAUUAUCGGAGGACUAGUUACCUUACCGAUGUUUAGAUGAUUAUGUUGAUUGGACAAUUGUUCAAAAAAUUUCACUUCAUCUGCAUGGUUGUAUUUAUUAUCUAUUGUAAAAGAAAAACAACAAAAGGGUGGAUAUACUCUUUGUACAUACUGUAAUGCUUUUAUUUCUACAGAAAUGAUGAUGCUGUUGAAUACGACUCUUGUUUGUUAUGGUGGCAUAUGAGUUGUGUAAAAUUAAAGAGCAAGCCAAAAGUUAAGCAUUGGUAUUGCAAAUCAUGCAGGUAAAACUGAACUUAUGUGUCAGUAUGUACUAGAAGUUUUGUUUAGACAGCAACCAUUUGAUUUCC